UGGGGAAUAUUGGACAAUGGGCGAAAGCCUGAUCCAGCCAUGCCGCGUGUGUGAAGAAGGUCUUCGGAUUGUAAAGCACUUUAAGUUGGGAGGAAGGGCAUUAACCUAAUACGUUAGUGUUUUGACGUUACCGACAGAAUAAGCACCGGCUAACUCUGUGCCAGCAGCCGCGGUAAUACAGAGGGUGCAAGCGUUAAUCGGAAUUACUGGGCGUAAAGCGCGCGUAGGUGGUUUGUUAAGUUGGAUGUGAAAUCCCCGGGCUCAACCUGGGAACUGCAUUCAAAACUGACUGACUAGAGUAUGGUAGAGGGUGGUGGAAUUUCCUGUGUAUCGGUGAAAUGCGUAGAUAUAGGAAGGAACACCAGUGGCGAAGGCGACCACCUGGACUAAUACUGACACUGAGGUGCGAAAGCGUGGGGAGCAAACA
rnacentral:rRNA from 1 species